CUUUUAGGCGCAUCAAUAUUACAUAGUUACAUCCCGAGCUAAUAAAAGGGAGGUAAAAAAAAUAUGGGGGCACCAGCCAUAACAAGCCUGCAAAAGGUUUUGAAUUUUUAAGUAGAACAAAAAAUAUUAAAAAAAAAGAAUUUCAUUUUUUCCACCUUUUGGCGCAACCUUUUUUUGCGACUUUUAUGAUAAAUAAAGCUUUUCGCAAUGUUAGAAAAAUUGUUAUUUUUUAAUUUCUUCUUUCGCUUUAACACUUAAAAAUGUUUAAAUAAAUGUUUGCCAUUUGUUACACAAGCAACAAUUAUAAGUAAAAUUACUCUGCUUUUAUACUUAAUUUUUUAAUCUGUUUUAGAAUUAUUUACAAUUUUUUACUGAUGUCGUUACAUGCGGUAGAAAAUCGAGGCAAAUUAUGGUUUAGAAAAUAUUAAAAAAAAAACCGAUUAUAGAAAAAA